GACAUGUCCGGAAUCUCGAAGAGAUUUGGGAGUGCUGCAAGAGAACCGGAACACAGGUGCUGCAUGGCUGUCGUCAGCUCGUGUCGUGAGAUGUUGGGUUAAGUCCCGCAACGAGCGCAACCCUUGUCAUUAGUUGCCAUCAUUGGUUGGGCACUCUAAUGAGACUGCCGGUGACAAACCGGAGGAAGGUGGGGAUGACGUCAAGUCCUCAUGGCCCUUAUGGGUAGGGCUUCACACGUCAUACAAUGGUCGGUACAGAGGGUUGCCAACCCGCGAGGGGAGCUAAUCCCACAAAGCCGAUCGUAGUCCGGAUCGCAGUCUGCAACUCGACUGCGUGAAGUCGGAAUCGCUAGUAAUCGUGGAUCAGCAUGUCACGGUGAAUACGUUCCCGGGUCUU
rnacentral:rRNA from 1 species